GCAAGUCACCAGCGUCUUCUUUACCUGUGCUGCCAUAAACCUUGGACUCUGAGGUGAUUGGCUAUGCUUUCUCUCUAGGUUAUCCCAUUCAGCCUGCCGGGGAGGACACUAGGAAGCCCUGCUGAGCCCUUAUGGAUCAAGUCCCCAGCUUCUGAUGACACAGAGGAGUAAGAACCACGGUGUGGGAUCUGAUAUUGGCUGCACCAUCUGCCUGGGCCACUCUGUACGCCCCGGUACUAUGGCAGAGGGCAGUCCUGGCUAUGUCUAAAGAAUGGCAUGGACCAGUUACCACGAUGUCAAGACUGUUCACCUGUCACUAUGGCAACAAGGGCAGGAGACAUCACUUCGGCAAACCAGAGGCUCAGCUUCUAGCUGGUGUCCUCACCGGAGACCUUGCCCUAACUGAUGGAGUGACUGGAUGCUAGGGGCCUGUCUGCUGUGUGCUGCAGUCCAGAGUGUCUGGCCACACAGUUUCCUGAAGGCCUUGAGUCCAAGUGGAACACGGUCUCAUAUAUACCUCAUCCAACAUCUCCUUGGUCGACGGGGAUUGGGGGUGACCCUACAAGCAUUCAGUGGUCAGGACUCCACACCAGGAGCCUGAUCCUUAUCUUCCAUUACUCGGAAGAUAAUGCUGGUAUAGGGGGUAUCUGGGUUCACCCCAGACCCAGAACUCUGAUCACCCCCACAGGACACAGCUGGAGAACAGCUGACUGGUCUCUUUAGCAGACUCACAUUUUAGAGAACUUGAAAAUAUGGAGCGGGUCUUAUCAUGAACGAGUUGGGGUCACAGGCACAGUAACAUGUGGACCGGACGUGCUGAGAGAUCCUGCUGUGCCUCGGGACAUCCCCCAGCUCCUCUUCAUCUGUCAUCAAGGAUGGCAUAGAACAGCAAGACCCCUUCCUCUGCUCUGUGGCUGGUUAUAUUAGCAGAUGCCAUUCCCUAGGUGCUGCUGUUCCCUGUUGGAAUGCCUGACCUCCUUGGUUUGGGGACAGGAAAAUGGGGAGCAGCUUACAGGGUGCAUUUCUACAAUACCCAGAGUUCUGCCUGGCCAGUCUUGGGGUGGUUCCUCACUGACAGCAAUGCCAGACCACCCAAGUGGGGAGUCUGUCCCUCCAGGCAAACAGGAGAAGCAAGAGGCACCAAGGCAGCCUUCCCGGGUCAGGCCCAAUAAAUCCUGUCCAUGGUAAUGUCACGUCCUCCCCGAGUGCUGCGUGAGCACACAGAUGGCAGAAAUGAUGACCCGCAAAAUUAAAACAUGGAAUCCAAGAUGGGCCACGUUGCACAGGGUCCAACUCUGACAAGCGUUAGUGGGGCUCCAACAGCGGCAUGAGGCCGGGGCUGUAUUUAAAACAAAAUACUCAGAGGAAACCCAGCAACAUGUGUUCUGAAGAAGAUCUAGUGAGCGCUACCCCUUGGGACUGACAGACGGUCUCUAUUUGUUCAUGAACGUGACCUUCUGAGUACAGACAACAGAGCACCCCGUAUUUCUAGGCAUGAAGGUUAUGAUUGGACUGUCAAACGAGAUAACAGUUUUGGAAAUGAGAAAAAAAAAUCUUUGAGGUUUAAGAAAAAUAACAGUGAACUAGCAAGACUAGUGAGGCAGAGCCUGUGAGCUGUGGAGUUCUUUCUCCCAGGGGUCAGGUGACUGUGUCCUCUGCCACCGCUGUGCAAGGAGGGUCUGCCUGAGGCCGGGCUCACUUGGAGG